rnacentral:rRNA from 1 species
GACGAACGCUGGCGGCGUGCUUAACACAUGCAAGUCGAACGGAAAGGCCCUGCUUUUGUGGGGUGCUCGAGUGGCGAACGGGUGAGUAACACGUGAGUAACCUGCCCUUGACUUUGGGAUAACUUCAGGAAACUGGGGCUAAUACCGGAUAGGAGCUCCUGCUGCAUGGUGGGGGUUGGAAAGUUUCGGCGGUUGGGGAUGGACUCGCGGCUUAUCAGCUUGUUGGUGGGGUAGUGGCUUACCAAGGCUUUGACGGGUAGCCGGCCUGAGAGGGUGACCGGCCACAUUGGGACUGAGAUACGGCCCAGACGCCUACGGGAGGCAGCAGUGGGGAAUAUUGCACAAUGGGCGGAAGUCUGAUGCAGCAACGCCGCGUGCGGGAUGACGGCCUUCGGGUUGUAAACCGCUUUCGCCUGUGACGAAGCGUGAGUGACGGUAAUGGGUAAAGAAGCACCGGCUAACUACGUG